UUAUAAAAACAGGGAGCUUGUUAAACAGGCUGAGAGGAAAGUAAAACUUUCGACCUUUGAACCUGAUUUGGGUAAUGCCAACGUAGGAAACGAAGAUGAUAAGUCG
rfam:Anaerostipes hadrus draft genome.